GAUGAACGCUGGCGGCGUGCCUAAUACAUGCAAGUCGAGCAAACGGACGAGAAGCUUGCUUCUCUGAUGUUAGCGGCGGACGGGUGAGUAACACGUGGAUAACCUGCCUAUAAGACUGGGAUAACUUCGGGAAACCGGAGCUAAUACCGGAUAAUAUUUUGAACCGCAUGGUUCAAAAGUGAAAGACGGUCUUGCUGUCACUUAUAGAUGGAUCCGCGCUGCAUUAGCUAGUUGGUAAGGUAACGGCUUACCAAGGCAACGAUGCAUAGCCGACCUGAGAGGGUGAUCGGCCACACUGGAACUGAGACACGGUCCAGACUCCUACGGGAGGCAGCAGUAGGGAAUCUUCCGCAAUGGGCGAAAGCCUGACGGAGCAACGCCGCGUGAGUGAUGAAGGUCUUCGGAGCGUAAAACUCUGUUAUUAGGGAAGAACAUAUGUGUAAGUAACUGUGCACAUCUUGACGGUACCUAAUCAGAAAGCCACGGCUAACUACGUG
rnacentral:rRNA from 1 species